CUACUUUUGCGGCGUUAUGGUUUUUCGCCUUGGCGAAAAUUAAAAGGGAAUAAGGUGUAAAUCCUAAACUGUCCCGCAGCUGUAAGCUCUAAUAACUAUUUUUCAUUCUUAAAGUCACUGUUCGCUAACCUGCGAAUGGGAAGGCAGAAAAAUAGGGAGUAAGUCAGAAUACCUGCCAAAACAUUUUUGAUUCA
rnacentral:ncRNA from 2 species